rnacentral:lncRNA from 1 species
GUCAGAAGGGGCCACCAUUACUAUCUCAUCCACAGCAAAAACUAGCCUGGAAGUUCAUCAAGAAAUUCUACUUUAACUGCUCUCUAUGAUCCAGAGCACCUAGGCAGAGCCGCAGUACUCAUAACAGCCAGGAGGUGGCAUCAACAGACAAAUGAAGAAACAAGGUAUCUACAAACAAUGGAAUAUUAGACUCAGAAGAAAAGGAAUUCCUGUCAUAUGCCAUGACAUAGAACACUAAAGACAUUUUGUUAGAUAAAAC